AGUGAACGUUGGCGGCGUGGAUUAGGCAUGCAAGUCGAGCGAUCGUAGCAAUACGGGAGCGGCAAACGGGGUAGGAAUACAUCGGAACGUACCUUUUGGUUGAGAAUAGCGUUGGGAAACUGACGGUAAUACUCAAUAAAGUCGAGAGACCAAAGGUUUACUGCCGGAAGAGCGGCCGAUGCGAUAUUAGGUAGUUGGUGGGGUAAUGGCCUACCAAGCCUGAGAUGUCUAGGGGGUGUGAGAGCAUGGCCCCCACCACUGGGACUGAGAGACUGCCCAGACACCUACGGGUGGCUGCAGUCGAGGAUCUUCGUCAAUGGGCGAAAGCCUGAACGAGCGACGCCGCGUGCGGGAUGAAGGCCCUUGGGUUGUAAACCGCUGUCAGGGGGGAUGAAACCGCAAGGUUGACAGAGCCCCAGAGGAAGCACGGGCUAAGUUCGUG
rnacentral:rRNA from 1 species